AACGAAGCCGGAGAUCUAGCAGGGUUGUCAACAUGAAAUGCUACGUUUUAAUAGGCCUUGUCUGCUUUCUUCUUGUAAUUGAGAAACGAGUAGGACAAGCCAAUAAACUGAUGCAAGAACAUCAGCUACAAUCUGAAUACAAUGCACAACCCCAUGUACUUGUCGAAGAAAGAAGCACGCACAACAAGCAAUACACGUGCAUAAAAAAUGGAGGACGCUGCAAGGAAAACCUAACAUGCGGUUUAAGGAAACCUAUGAACGGCACAUGUGCUCCCAACAGAAGAUGCUGCACUAUAUAGGAAUGACUGACUCCGCGUAGCGACUUCCUACACUUCCUACCCACAGGAUGCAGUGCACUAUUUGGAGUUUAUAAAAUGCUUGUAAGUCCUGCGUCCCUAUCAUUAUGCGAUUUACUGAACGGACAAAAUAAAGUUGGUA